rnacentral:lncRNA from 1 species
GGGGUUAUCAGGAAAUACGAAAGAAAGGCCCACACGUCGGGAUUACAUAGAGAUAUUAAUGUGCCGCGCAAUUAUCUUACAUCUAGAAGACUCUAGAAGCCACGAGACCGAAGCGAAGACGAAACGGGGCCAGAGGCAGGGCGCCCGCCCUGUUCCCCUGGGCGCUAGCCCCCUCCCUGAGUCCAAUCAGGACUCUAUUUUGUGGGAGAUCUCCACCGACCUAAAGGAUGAAUCUAAACCAUACAAUCUAUGUCGGUUUGAUCCAACGGCCCAUAUUCACUUGAAGGGACUAUAAAACCAGACCCCCUGGCCCCUG